GACGAACGCUGGCGGCGUGCUUAACACAUGCAAGUCGAACGGAAAGGCCCUGCUUUUGUGGGGUGCUCGAGUGGCGAACGGGUGAGUAACACGUGAGUAACCUGCCCAUGACUUUGGGAUAACUUCAGGAAACUGGGGCUAAUACCGGAUAGGAGCUCCUGCUGCAUGGUGGGGGUUGGAAAGUUUCGGCGGUUGGGGAUCGACUCGCGGCUUAUCAGCUUGUUGGUGGGGUAGUGGCUUACCCAGGCUUUGACGGGUAGCCGGCCUGAGAGGGUGACCGGCGACAUUGGGACUGAGGUACGGCGCAGACUCGUACGGGAGGCAGCAGUGGGGAAUAUUGCACAAUGGGCGGAAGCCUGAUGCAGCGACGCCGCGUGCGGAAUGACGGCCUUCGUGUUGUAAACCGCUUUCGCCUGUGACGAAGCGUGAGUGACGGUAAUGGGUAAAGAAGCACCGGCUAACUACGUG
rnacentral:rRNA from 1 species